UGACACCACAAAUCAUGACGUAUAGUCACAUGCAACCAUUUGCAAUGGGAACAACGUUGCUACAGGGUAGCGAACAGAGUCUUGCGAGAAUUGGUUGAGUCUUUAGCACCUCUAAGCCGCGAGAAUGCAGAAAUUACGAAGAAAACUGGCUGGUCUCUCUUCGGAUGUGUAUUAAAGAGCCAACACUAGUUAAAGGGAACCCUGUACUGCUGUUGCCAAUAUUAACGAGGGAGACUUCAGUUUGCAAAACGCACACCAUCCUGUCUCCCUGGAUGCACCUGUAGCAGAUGGGUUUCCAGUGUGGACUUGAGCCGUCUCACCGCAUCCGGGAUGGAGCUGGUUGAUCGGUUGAUCCGAUUGAAAACGGCAUGGACCUGUUCCACCCCUUGCUCCCCAUGAAAACCCAACCCAACCCCCCAACACCUUAUCCAGGGUAUGACAUGUUCUUCCAAGAGGUGCAUCUUGACGGAUACAGACGAGGUAGGGAACAGCUCUC